UGGGGAAUAUUGCACAAUGGGCGCAAGCCUGAUGCAGCCAUGCCGCGUGUGUGAAGAAGGCCUUCGGGUUGUAAAGCACUUUCAGCGAGGAGGAAGGUGGUGAGCUUAAUACGCUCAUCAAUUGACGUUACUCGCAGAAGAAGCACCGGCUAACUCCGUGCCAGCAGCCGCGGUAAUACGGAGGGUGCAAGCGUUAAUCGGAAUUACUGGGCGUAAAGCGCACGCAGGCGGUUUGUUAAGUCAGAUGUGAAAAUCCCCGGGCUCAACCUGGGAACUGCAUUUGAAACUGGCAAGCUAGAGUCUCGUAGAGGGGGGUAGAAUUCCAGGUGUAGCGGUGAAAUGCGUAGAGAUCUGGAGGAAUACCGGUGGCGAAGGCGGCCCCCUGGACGAAGACUGACGCUCAGGUGCGAAAGCGUGGGGCAGCAAACAGGAUUAGAUACCCUGGUAGUCCACGCUGUAAAACGAUGUCGAUUUUGGAGGUUGUGCCCUUGAGGCGUGGCUUCCGGAGCUAACGCGUUAAAUCGACCGCCUGGGGAGUACGGCCGCAAGGUUAAAACUC
rnacentral:rRNA from 1 species